AACACUCUGGAAAGAGCGGCCAUAGAAGGUGAUAGCCCUGUAUCUGAAAGGGCCAUUUCAGUGAAGACGAGUAGGGCGGGGCACGUGAAACCCUGUCUGAACAUGGGGGGACCAUCCUCCAAGGCUAAAUACUACUGACCGACCGAUAGUGAACCAGUACCGUGAGGGAAAGGCGAAAAGAACCCCGGAGAGGGGAGUGAAAUAGAACCUGAAACCGUGUGCGUACAAGCAGUAGGAGCUCCGCAAGGAGUGACUGCGUACCUUUUGUAUAAUGGGUCAGCGACUUACUGUUCGUGGCAAGCUUAACCGUAUAGGGGAGGCGAAGGGAAACCGAGUCUGAUAAGGGCGCAUAGUCGCGGGCAGUAGACCCGAAACCGGGUGAUCUAGUCAUGCCCAGGGUGAAGGUGCGGUAACACGCACUGGAGGCCCGAACCCACUCCCGUUGCAAAGGUAGGGGAUGAGGUGUGAUUAGGAGUGAAAAGCUAAUCGAACCCGGAGAUAGCUGGUUCUCCUCGAAAGCUAUUUAGGUAGCGCCUCAUAUGUAUCCUCUCGGGGGUAGAGCACUGUUAUGGCUAGGGGGUCAUCGCGACUUACCAAACCAUUGCAAACUCCGAAUACCGAGACGGACUGUAUGGGAGACACACGGCGGGUGCUAACGUCCGUCGUGAAAAGGGAAACAACCCAGACCCACAGCUAAGGUCCCAAAUUCUCGUGCUAAGUGGAAAACCAUGUGGAAAAGGCACAGACAGCCAGGAGGUUGGCUUAGA
rnacentral:rRNA from 1 species